UGGCGGCCCGGAGAGGGGGCGGCCCGGAGAGUUUCCCCUUCUCAAGGGCAUUGGGUGAUAGACCAGCUGUCUAUUAGCAUCCAGGCUCCUUGAGGAAACCCAGCUGUGUCUCCUGACCCACUCAGGGGUGCCACCAUGCCAUCCACAGUGCUUAUGCUAUGAACAUCCUGAUACUGUGAUGCACGGGCUGUCCUGACCACCUUCUGCCUUUGCUGCAGCAUGGGCUCCGUGCACUCGCUCCUGAGGAGAUCCCAACACUUUAUAAGGGCCUUGAUAUGUAUUCACUGUGCUGAGUGCUGUGCCUUCUCCAAAUAAAUGACAAGUGAGACUAAGCCCAGCAGCUGGGAUUGAGAUGCAAAGCAGAAGGACUGCAAAACCAGUAAUGCCUAAACUUCUUCCCUCCACCUUCCAAGUACUCUUCUGCAGCAGCCUGCCACAGCUGAAAUAAAUUUAGAAGAGUCCCCUUGAUUCUUAGGGGAUCUUGACAAAAAGACAUCAUGGGACCAUCAUGCUGAAUGCUGGUAACCAUCCUGUACUUGACAGAGACAUCAGGGCACAGGAUGCAGUUCCUCACCCUCCUCAGAUAGUAAAUCACUCAUCUCUUUCUUAGUGUUAUCUCCUCCCACCCUGCUAUCCCUUCCCUUGCUCCAGAUAACAGUGCCCUUUCCCCACACACACACCCCACCCCCCUGAUGGUCUAGCUGCUUACAUAAUCUAAUUAAAUUUGCAAGUCGUUUUCUGCUGGUUUUCACUUUCAAGAAUACUGUUCCUGUUUCAGAUCUGAAAAAGAGGUUCCUGCCCCUAAAUUUCUUUUUUUUUUUCCCAGGGACAGCUGAUCUGAUCAAAGACAGCCCCUCUUUCUACAAACCACAGUGGAAAGAGAGCAAUUUACGUCUUUAGUAGUGGGUUGAGUGACAAGGGAACAUUUGGCUCAUUCUCCAUAGUGUAAUAUGCAGCUAAAAACAUCCAGUUAGUAGGUGUGCUUCAAUUUUGUUUUAUUUUGAAGAGAUUGUUCUAGAAAAAUUAGUAUUUCUGUAGUAGUAUUGAGAUCUCUUAUAAAUGCAGUGGUUGACUCAGUGUGCUAGAGUCAGAAUAGAAGCCUUUUGGCACAACUGGUAAGGUAGAUGGACCUUCAUGUUACUUGGUUUGUAGGGUCUAUAUUCAGAUCUGCAGCUGUGAAGUGGAAGAUAGUACUUAAAUGUGCAUCAUUUAACUAGGUCAAGGCUCCUGUGUGAACAGAGGAUGAGAUGGUGGAUGAGAAAUUGAACAUGAGC